GGAGUGGCUUGUGUGAUUAGGAAUGAUUGUAUAAAGGCCUUUGUUGUCAGAAGGGCAAUAACUUUCCAAGAUGGAUUUUGGAGAAUGGUCCCAAAAACAGGAUGCACCUGGGCUGUGGGGAAGCAAGGACAAAGCCUUUGCUUUUCAUUCUAUGAGAGCAAAACUCAACCUCAGCUCUCAAACAUUCUCAAAAAUUUUAUUCUGCAUUUUCUGAGUUUUCUAUACUUUUCCCCUGAAGGCCUCAGAGCAAUUCUGAUAUCUCCUUUUAAAGUUGUGAUAUGACUCUGUCUGCCACACAGCUACAUUGAAGGAAGAAAAAAGAAAUGCUGUUUUCUGUUUCCUUUUCCUAGGUGCCUUUAUUGCUGGACAUUGUGAGUUUCCACCAACAAGCGCCUGGGUCAGGCUGCAGGUGGAGAGAGAGAGCUGCCUGCUCCAGUUCUGGAGCUCCCGCUUUAAGAACAUCCUGAACUGAAGAAACUCAAACCCACAAAUCAUAAAGUUAGAGGACAAUGUCAAAGCAAGCCAAAGUCUUGCCAAAGAGCUCAAGAAAUGCCAAUACUACAGUCUGAGAGUUACUUGCUAUAACAUGGAGCCACCAUUGCUACAAUAUGCCAAGAAGAACCACAGCUGGUGAUUGCUUGAGGCAAUCUGGCACACCUGUAAUGGGGCAGCUCAGGAAAUGUUUUUGCACGGGAGAUUUUCUUCCAGAUCAGUCUGGAUGUAAGGAUUACCUAGAUCGCCUGUCCUGUCUUCCAGCUGCACUGUGUUUACUCUGGAGGAGCCAGGAAUGGCCUGGGGAGCAAGUGCAAUUUGUUUGCUUUUCUGUGUCAAAUGCCAAUUACAUUGAACAAAUAAGCAAGAAUUUGGUCUUACAUCAGACCUGUUGAAAUUUGGUAGAAAAACGUUUUGCUAACGCUACUUCUUCUCGAAGUAAGUCUGAACUUUCUAAGACUUUCGCAGAAAGAUAAAGCGAUAUUUGUUUCAAUUAUGGACUUUUAAAAUUCAGAUGUUAUGUGCAUAAUCCAUGGCUAUUGGUGUAAGAAAUGUCUAUUAUUAGUUUUCUUUAAGAAAAUGCUAACUACCCUCUGAUUAUUCUGUAUGUUCCCCAGAAUUAAAAGCAAUGUUUUUCAGAAGCUGCUGGUGUGUGUCUUAACUGUCCCACCUCUGCACAAUCUUUGAAAUAGCAUGUGUUAUUAUCUGAAGAGGGAAAAUUAAAGAGACAAAAGAAAAUAAACUGUAGUAAUGAGACACUAAACAUGAUAAAUCAGAUUUUUUAUAAGUAUUUCUAUACUUUCUGAAGAAGAGCCAAGUAAUAAUUAUUGGACAACUUUUCUUGCAAGAAUCUUAGUUUAAAAUAGAUUCCUAACCCACAAAUGUUUAUGUCCAACAGAUCAUUUCAUCCUUCUGAGCAAGAACAAAUACAGCAGUCUUAAGCACUGGCUAAGUACUCAGGCAGGAAAAAUCUUUCUUCUCUGUAAAUUUUCGUGAUUUAAGAUGACAAAGUAAUUUCCUCAUCUAUAGUUCUGUUUGAUUACCCACUUUGAAUAUCCUCUGGUUUGAUGAUUUGGUCAUGCUCAUAACGUCUUACUUAUGACCUUGCUUUCUGUCAUUGAAAAAAGCCCUUCCUUUAAUUAGCUUCCAGAGUAUUUGUAGCAGCUUGGCUUAUGCUAAUUUGUGUGUUUGUUCAUCUUUUUAAUAAAAUCCUUAUUAAUUCUAAUCUGUUUGAGAUUUACUUGGCAAAUUAUAAGGGUACGUGUAAUCUCCUACAAAUGGCAUGUUGCUUGUCUCUGCUUCCCAGAGUAGUACCAUACUUGCCUCAAGUUGUCAAAAUGACACAGGAGUGCCCUUCUAGUGUUAUACUCCAAUACUGUAGAAAUCCUUCAGAAAAUUCCAAGUAAAGACAACUUUCUUUAUCUCCCUCGUUUCUUGGGAAAUUUGGAAGUGAUUUUAGGGUUCAGUAUAUUUUGCCAUUGCGGACGGGCACAAGUAUGGAACCCCCCAGAAGGAGAUCCUUGAAACAUGGUAGAUAUUGCCUUAAUCUGCUUUAAUCAGCUCCACUUCGCUGUUUGUCUUGAAUGGUUUUCUUUUGUCUUCAGCUUUUCUGCUUGUCACCUCAUUAUUUCUUCCAUCCAGAGUAAAAGGAACAUUUUCUCUAAGCCAGGUUUCCCUCUCUGAAAGGAGAAUCAUGCUUCCUACCUCCAAAACGAUCUUUUUGACAUAAGUAGGAUUUUCAGAAUUGAUAGAUAUUUCUCCAAACUGAGUUGCUUGGGUUUUCCAUAUUCUUAUAAUUAUCUCUAAAAAGCAGCGAUAAUAUCCUCUAUAAAAGAAGUGUAUUAAUUAACUAUGGCAACCAAGGUUUUGUUUGCAAAAGCACUGUAGCAGAGCAGUAAACCAUAAUGAGCAAAACCUUGUAAUGACCUCCAAUUUCUUUAUUUUAUUGUAAAAAUUUACAAGUCAAUAAAUACAGAGCAUAUAUUUUAUCAGUGGAGAGAGGCAUUCUAGGAUCCCAGCUCUCUUUCUUCUACUUAAGACAGUAAACAGCUUUAAACUGUCAGUGUGAGGUAGACACUCACAAAGAAGGAUUUAGUUAAGUGGUACUUGAAGGUUAAUGAAUUUUACCCAGAGACUGAGUAAUCUUUAGGACAGGCACUGAAUGGAUUAUCUGGUUCAGCAAUUUACUGCAAGGUAGAUUAUCUGCAUGCCUACAUUACAAGUACCUAAAUACUAUCAUUAUAUUUCCCUCCCUUUUAUGUCAUAUUUGUAUCAAAAAAGUUCAUGAUAGGUACGAAAUAUGUAUUAAAAUGACAUUUGCCUUUCAUGUUUUCUAAUUAAAGCACACUGAAGUUAAUAGUAAUCUUUCCAGUUACUUCAGAGAACUUUGCCACUAGCCCUUCUGGAAUUGCCUUCUAUCACCUAGUUUCUUCUGCUGAAAUGAUUGUGUUAUCAAAAUAACUUUAUAGUAUGAGAUGUAUCCUCCAAUUAGCAGUGCAGCAGAGUCUGCUUUUAUCGGUCAUUUUCAGCUGAUAAACUCAGAGCUUCUUGAAGAAGUUCUUAAGUCCUGAAGCCCAUGGCUUUCAUUUUGCAUUACUGCAUUUUUGGUGAUUGCAGUAAACUCAAAUGUAACUCAGUUCUUCCUGUCCAACAAGCCAAUUGCCUGGCUGUUAGCUUUCCAUCACUAGCAACAUCUUCCUAUAUUUUGUCCCAAUUCAUGGCAUGAGAAAAUGGAAUUAGUUCUAUCAUUAACUCCCAAGGAAUUCCAUGUGUUAUAUCUCUCCUUCAUUUCUAUCAUCUUAACUUUUAAGAACUAUCUUCCCAUCCAUCAAUUUAUUAUCCAUCUUACAACUCUUUUGCAAAUUCCACUGCUCUUCAGUUAAAUAAUUUCUCAAAUAAGCCAUGUUCAAAUACCUUAAUUAAAUCCAGUUAUUGCACUCUUUAUGAACUUUGUGCAGAAAAAAAAAAAAGAUUAAAGUUAUCAGGCUGAUAUGUCAUGCUCUAACUUUUGUGAGCAAGUAUUGCAUUAUACUUUACUCCUACAUGUUCUAAGUGUUCAUUUUGAAAUUUCUAUAUAAAUUAUGCCCUUGAUGAGUCUAAACUGAUGACUACUUCCUGUCUCUUCUUGUAUUAGUAGAUUUGGUACUUUUCAGUUAUAUAACACAAGUUGAGGUCUGUAAUGUCAUGUGGCACCUCACUCCAAAUUUGAGAUAGAAAAUACCUAAUUUCCUGAUAUGAAAUGAAAGCAAACUUUCUGUGAAAGUAAUUUUUUUCUGUAAAGAAAUGUAGAAAAUAUAAAAGAAUAGCUGCCAAAAAACCCCCCAACAAUAUAAAAUGAGAUGCUGGAGAGAGCUAUUUUCCCAUCACCCAUGGUGUCCAAUGUAAUUGCUCUAUCUGUUCUGAAUUUGCUUCAGUUUUCAGAAACUGACAUUUUUCACAAGUUUUGGAAUAACUUGUGUAAUUUAUUAGGUAUUUCUUGGACAUUCACAGCAAUUGUUGUGUGGUCGAGGUUGGUGUGGUUUUUUGAAGCAGUCAUCUAACUCUAAACAAAUGUGCUGGAAAUUGAAAUGUUUUUUGUUGUUAACCUACAUAUGGAACUGGAAAAGAUGGUAAGUAGGAUCUCCAAAGAGAAGAAAUACAUGGAAAGAUGUAAUUAUGCAAUAAAUUAACCUCUUCUCUUAGGGGGAAAAAAAAAUGUAUUUUCAUUGUUCAUUAGAUGUUACUUUCCAAAUGGCAGGAUUUGAGCAAUUUCUGCUUCCAUUGUUCUGAACACUUCUGGUGAGCUGCUCAUUCCAUCUGUGUUGAUAACUAUAUACACUAUGUUUUAAGACUUGGCAACAUGCUUACAAUCAAAUUUAAUUUAAAAGAAAGCUAGAUUUCUUAAAUACAGUGCUUAAAAUACAGAUUAAGGAGAAAAAUCAAUACAUCAUCAACUAUCAAAAGGGAGAACUUCUGAAGUUUUCCAUUACAAUUAAAGCUUCUUUAACUCAUUCAUUUGAUAUUAAGUAACUCUACC